rnacentral:rRNA from 1 species
AGGCUGCAACUCGCCUACAUGAAGUUGGAAUCGCUAGUAAUCGCGAAUCAGAAUGUCGCGGUGAAUACGUUCCCGGGUCUUGUACACACCGCCCGUCACACCACGAGAGUUUACAACACCCGAAGUCAGUGGCCUAACCGAGAGGGAGGAGCUGCCGAAGGCGGGACUGAUAACUGGGGUGAAGUCGUAACAAGGUAUC